rnacentral:rRNA from 1 species
GACGAACGCUGGCGGCGUGCUUAACACAUGCAAGUCGAACGGAAAGGCCCUGCGUUUGUGGGGUGCUCGAGUGGCGAACGGGUGAGUAACACGUGAGUAACCUGCCCUUGACUUUGGGAUAACUUCAGGAAACUGGGGCUAAUACCGGAUAGGAGCUCCUGCUGCAUGGGGGGGGUUGGAAAGUUUCGGCGGUUGGGGAUGGACUCGCAGCUUAUCAGCUUGUUGGUGGGGUAGGGGCUUACCAAGGCUUUGACGGGUAGCCGGCCUGAGAGGGUGACCGGCGACAUUGGGACUGAGAUACGGCCCAGACUGCUACGGGCGGCAGCAGUCGGGAAUAUUGCACAAUGGGCGGAAGCCUGAUGCAGCAACGCCGCGUGCGGGAUGACGGCCUUCGGGUUGUGAACCGCUUUCGCCUGUGACGAAGCGUGAGUGACGGUAAUGGGUAAAGAAGCACCGGCUAACUACGUG